rnacentral:rRNA from 1 species
GUCUACGGCCAUACCACCCUGAACGCGCCUGAUCUCGGAAGCUAAGCAGGGUCGGGCCUGGUUAGUACUUGGAUAGGAGAUUAUCUGCCUAAUAUUGAGAAAGUCUUUGCCU